UCUCCUGACCUUGUGAUCCGCCCGCCUCGGCCUCCCAAAGUGCUGGGAUUACAGGCGUGAGCCACCGCGCCCGGCCGCAUCUUUUCUUUUUCUCCUUUUUCCCAACUACUGCUGUGCUUUCUGGCUUUGUGCCUUCCUUCUUUGCUUCCUCUCCCAUCACUCCACAGACAAGGAGGCUCUGUCCAAGCUCCUGUCCUGGCUCGCUCAGCCCAGCCUUCAGGUUCUCAGCCCAACACGAGGGUCUCCUUGGGUAGUCAGCUCAAUCAUUUCAAGCUAUUAAUCAACGGACUUCUCCUGAAUGCAUCCAGACCUCUCCUCAAGGCUCUUGCUCCGUCGCCCAGGCUGAAGUGCAGUGGAGCGAUCACGAUCACGGUUCGCUGCAGCUUCAAACUCCUGAGCUCAAACGAUCCUCCCCGCUCAGCCUCCCAAGUAGCUGGGACUACUGGCACAUGCCACCACCCCUGGCUGAAAAUCACUCAUUUUUAAUGAGAAAAUGAAGCGGGAAAGGAAGCUACUCACAACAGCAACAAGAUCCGUACUAUAACCAAGAAUGAAACCAGAAUAUAGAGUUUUUGUGAUUAGAACGGGCAAAUAAAAGAACAAAGCUGAGUGGAGAGUCCAGAAUUCUCAGCCACUCCACUCCUAAGAAUCUGCCGUUUUUAAAAAGUGGACAUGUGCACAAAGGUAUACGUACAAAGAGGCUCAGAAAUAACAUUUGCAAGGGCAAAAACAUUGAGGCCAAUGCGAGUUUUUAUCAACAGGAGAAUGGUUAAAUGAAUAAUGUUAUAUCACAUUUGCAGUGUUUUAUUUAGAAAGGAAGCAUUGCUGUGAGUUCUGACAUGGAAUGAUCUCGGUGGUAUAUUGAAAAGCAAGUUCUAAUAUAAUUCCUCAAGCAUAAAAAAAACUAUAUGUUGAUAUAUUUAUGGAUAGAGGUAAUUGCAUAGAAAAAUGCCUGGAAAGAUACAUGUCAAACCAUUAUUGUGGUUAGUUCUGGGGGCCAUUUCCUUUAGAAAUUUUCUAUGAGAAUGGCCGGGUGCGGUGGCUCAUGCCUGUAAUCCUAGCACUUUGGGAGGCCGAGGCGGGUGGAUCACAAGGUCAGGAGAUCGAGCCCAUCCUGGCUAAUACGGUGAAACCCCAUCUCUACUAAAAAUACAACAAAUUAGCCGGGCGUGGUGGCGGGCGCCUGUGGUCCCAGCUACUCGGGAGGCUGAAGCAGGAGAAUGGCGUGAACCUGGGAGGCGGAGCUUGCAGUGAGCUGAGAUUGCGCCACUGCACUCCAGCCUGGGCGACAGAGCCAGACUCCGUCUCAAAAAAAAAAGAAAUUUUCUAUGACAAUGUAUUCAUGUAGUACUUGUCAAUUAUUUUCUUUUUAAAUAAAAUAGUAAGACCCAGGCUUCUUAGUGCUGUGACAAGCUGGCCUUGUCUCUGUCUCCAGCAGGGUGGCUAAGGGUUUCAGAUGGCACCGCACCAUGGUGUUUGCUCCAGCCCAUCUCCUUGGGAUCAGUGUUAGUGUGGAGGAUGUGAGGGACCAUAGCUGUGACCUCCCGGGUGGGCUUCCAGAAGAGGAGGUCUGGUGAGACCGCUUGGGGCAGGACCAGAUAUUCCACUCCCUGGAAAGGAAGGCAUGGGAUUCUGCCUCGUGGCACAAG
rnacentral:lncRNA from 1 species